rnacentral:tRNA from 1 species
ACCUGGCUGGCUCAGUCAGUAGAGCAUAUAACUCUUGAUCUUGGAGUUGUGGGUUUGAGCCCCACACUGGGUG